UUCCUUCGUCGCUGCUGGUCCUUCCACUCGUUGCUGGGGGUUUACUGCUGUUCCUGCUGGUCUUCGUGGUGAUCUUUCUGAUCCGAAGGAGACGAUCCCAUUCCAGACUCACCGGAGCCCACCUUCAAACUCAGAUGUUUUACCGAGUAGGAAACACCUACAGUGACAAGGAGGACGACAGGGAAGAGGACGCCAUCGAUGUUGAUGCAGUUUAUACCGACAAGAAGCUAAAGGGGUCCGCAGGAAACACAGAAGAAGAGAGGGAGUGUGAGGAUGAGGAUGACGUGACGAACACAUGACCCACAUUGACUUUUAGAGCAGAGCCACCACAGCCCAAACAUCUGGAAGAGAUGCAGUUCCUCUGGGGUAGACCCUGAUCCAGGUGGGUCUGACCUGAGGACCAGGGGAGGUCCACAAAGGAGCACAGGAGUUCCUCUGGUGAGAUCUGCAUUUCAUUUUAUGAAGCAGGAGAACAUCUGAGCUGUAUGUGCUUUGCUGGCUUGUUUGUAGUAUUUUGCAGUAUAUAUGAAAGCUAAGUGGACAGAGCGGUGCUUCUCAUGAGCCCUUAAACAUCGGCUCUAAAUGUUAGCUAGCUAAUGCUUUGAACAUAUGCAAACCUGACAUGAAGCUAAUGUUUCCAUGUACAUGUAUGUAAGCUAACGGUGUGAGUGUCAGGUGUUAAUGGAUGCUGUCUGCCAGUCCUUCUGCUAGAACACACUGGAGCUGCAUGGGCCUGAACACAGUUCUACUGUGUUAACAUUCCUUCUGUAUCACAUAGCAACUGAUGCAAGAUGAAAAA